GAAGAGGAUUUUGUGAUGGAGACGUUAGACCAACUGCUCCAGGAGACACAGGACGUGACUGAGAAUACUGAGAUUUAAAGGGGAGGAGAAA